GACAGAGGGGGCAAGCGUUGCUCGGAAUCACUGGGCGUAAAGCGCACGUAGGCGGCUUUGUAAGUUAGAGGUGAAAGCCCGGGGCUCAACUCCGGAACUGCCUUUAAGACUGCAUCGCUUGAAUCCAGGAGAGGUGAGUGGAAUUCCGAGUGUAGAGGUGAAAUUCGUAGAUAUUCGGAAGAACACCAGUGGCGAAGGCGGCUCACUGGAGCUGGUAUUGACGCGUGAGGUGCGAAAGCGUGGGGAGCGAACCGG
rnacentral:rRNA from 1 species